rnacentral:tRNA from 1 species
UUAAUUGAAACCAAAAAGAGGUAAAUCACUGUUAAUGAUUUCAAUGAAUUAAAUUCCAAUUAAA